rnacentral:rRNA from 1 species
UACGUAGGGGGCAAGCGUUGUCCGGAUUUAUUGGGCGUAAAGAGCGUGUAGGCGGCUAGACAGGUCCGCUGUGAAAACUCGAGGCUCAACCUCGAGACGUCGGUGGAAACCGUCUGGCUAGAGUCCGGAAGAGGAGAGUGGAAUUCCCGGUGUAGCGGUGAAAUGCGCAGAUAUCGGGAAGAACACCCGUGGCGAAGGCGGCUCUCUGGACGGUACUGACGCUGAGACGCGAAAGCGUGGGAGCGAACAGG